GGGUGGAGCUGUGGUCUAAACCACUGAGUCUCUUGGGCUUGCUGAUCGGAAGGUCGGCGGUUCAAAUCCCUGUGAUGGAGUGAGCUCCCGUUGCUCUGUCCCUGCUCCUGCCAACCUAGCAGUUAGAAAGCACGUCAAAAUGCAAGUAGAUAAAUAGGUACCGCUCUGGCGGGAAGGUAAACGGUGUUUCCGUGCGCUGCUCUGGUUCACCAGAAGCGGCUUAGUCAUACUGGCCACAUGACCCGGAAAAACUGUCUGCGGACAAACGUCGGCUCCCUCAGCCAAUAAAGUGAGAUGAGCACCACAAGCCCAGAAUCGGCCACGAGUGGACCUAAUGGUCAGGGGUCCUUUUCCUUUACCUUUUAAAGGUAAAAAGGUUAAAGGGACCCCUGACCAUUAGGUCCAGCCAUGACCGACUCUGGGGUUGCAACACUAGACAUUGGUCCAGGACUUGCCUCACCUAAUUUGUACUCUAUCAACAUCUAACGGGCCACAGGUUAAUAAGCCACCCCUGAGUCUAGAACUACAUGCAUGACCUGGAAUGAACCCAUGGAAAGCUCUGGGGUCACACGAUGCCCUGUCCUCUUCCAGGAGGACUUUGUCCAGGUUAGUUUCCCUUUCACCAUUUCUUGCGGACCUGGGAGAGUGGUUGAUCACAAACUCCAGCUAGUAAAACGAGCCAGAUGGAAAUAAAGUUGGCUCGAUCAGAGUAGGAUUUGCAGUGAACCAAGAUCUCUGGUUCUACAUUUCAAAGGAUGUGGGUUUCCCCACUGUGAUUUUCAUAUUAUAAUUGCUCUUGUGGUUAAACUGUUUCAGGACCUACUUUUUGCUAGAAAAUGUUAAGACAGCAACUGUUUAACUGCUGCUUUUCAAGACCUUUGAUAAAAACUAAAUUUGUUGUGGUUUCAUCUUGGCUUAAUGACUUUGUUUUCAUUUCCGUACCUUCUGGACUUUACUCACCUCUUUAUCUAGUUUAGUGAACUGGCUCAGUCCGUAAGGAAGUUGAUAGGAAAUGACAAAGUUACAGAGGGUUAAGGGCUGUUUUAGUGGAGGCAACCAGUGAAAACACAGUUAACUGGUUUUCUCCCUCCCUCUCGUGGUGCAGGCUGCACCCCAUGAUGUGACAAUGGCUUACGUUGUUUUUUGUCCUAUACUUCUCUCUCCUCUGUGAUGCAUGCAUCUCAAAAAAAGCCGAGCAAAUGUUUUCAUACUUGUUCUCUUUGCAUACAUAUUGAUACACUGCCAGUUCAAAUAAGCGCAGGAAGAGCAAAUCAUUAAUCCAUCGCUGUAUGAAAGGUUACGAUCUCUUCUUCUAGUGUGCCGACAUCAUGUGUUUGGCUGACUCUAAUGCAUACAUAACCCAUAAUUCAUGGUCCAGUGCUAAAUUUCAAAUAGCAGGAAUGUAAUUAAUUAAAGGGUGCAUAUCACUGUGGUAUUGUAAGGCUUCCAAGAUUAAAUUAAUAACUAAACUCAGUGGGACUUACUUACAAGUAAAAUGCAAAUAACUUUGCUGAAAAGCUGUGAUCGUCUGCAAAUUCUCUUGGGAGUACAGUGGUACCUCGGGUUAAGUACUUAAUUUGUUCCGGAGGUCCGUUCUUAACCUGAAACAGUUCUUAACCUGAAGUACCUCUUUAGCUAAUGGGGCCUCCCGCUGACGCCGCGCUGCCAGAGCACGAUUUCUGUUCUCAUCCUGAAAAAAAGUUCUUAACCCGAGGUACUAUUUCUGGGUUAGCGGAGUCUGUAACCUGAAGCGUCUGUAACCCGAGGUACCACUUUAAUUCCUUGGUCUGUAAUCCUACACACUUAACUAAAGAGUGUGUCUGAAUGCAGUGGGAGUUCACAUCCAGUGCCGGAUUUACAUAUAAGCUAAAUAAGCUCUAACUUAGGGCCCCACUCUCUUGGGGGCCCCCAAAAAAAUUAAAGGAAAAAAACCUGGAUGUACAUUUCCAAAAUAUAAGAUAAAACACAAAUAAAAUAAAACCUACAUACAGCAACAGUGUUUUGUGUUGUGUAGGCUCCUAUGAUGCAAGUAAUGGGCCCCGCCUGCUCCCUAAAAUAUCCCUGGUUUGCUCAUUUCUAUAUAUAGGGUGCCUACAUUCUGCAUGGGACGCGGGUGGUGCUGUAGGUUAAACCACAGAACCUAGGAGUUGCCAAUCAGAAGGUCGGCGGUUCGAAUCCCCAUGACGGGGUGAGCUCCCGUUGCUCGGUCCCUGCUCCUGCCCACCUAGCAGUUCGAAAGCACCUCAAAGUGCAAUUAGAUAAAUAGGUACCGCUUCAGCGGGAAGGUAAACGGCGUUUCCGUGUGCUGCUCUGGUUCGCCAGAAGCGGCUUAGUCAUGCUGGCCGGCUCCCUCAGCCAAUAAAGCGAGAUAAGCGCCGCAACCCCAGAGUCGGCCACGACUGGACCUAAUGGUCAGCCUUUACAUUCUGCAUGGACUGGUUGCAUGGCAACAUGAGGCAUGCAGCUGCAGACUGCAGUGCAGCACAGUUGAACAUAUAAAGGGCCCCAUUACCUUCAGUAGCUUAGGGCCACAUCAAACCUAAAUCCGGCCCUGUUCACAUCUUAUGCUAUGUACCCACCAUACAUAGAUUCUGUAGGAGGAAAUAAUGUGCUUUAAAUGUAUGGUAUGUAUGCAGUAUCAGCAAAUAUGAUUAGGAUUGCAUUGCACAUCCCAUUUACAUCCAAGUGAAGACUAAUAGAAUUGACCCGAGAUACGCAGAGAUACCAUUGACCUCCAGCUGGGGAGGCUUGCUAACCUUUCGGAUAAGUCUAAACUUAUUUUCUCCUCUUAGGCAAAGACCACAAGACGACCUGGAUGGUUGCCAGAUUCUGCGCGCAAAUUUGCAGGCACAGACCACCCCCUGAAACAAAUUAGUUCACUAGGAAAACAGUCGAAGUCGGCCUCUAUGGUGGCAGGGCCAAUUUGUAUGGUAGCCCAAAUUUUAGGUCUUUAUGUGUAUAUGCGUUUAUCUUAGAUUUUAAUCUUUAAGAUGGUGUUGUACAAUGUUUCAAAUGUAUAUUUUAUUCUUGUGAAAGCUGUCCCAGUUGUGCUUUUCGAGCUGGUCUUUGACCGUAAUAAAAUUAUGAAAAUGAAAUAAUAGAAUUAACCGGUAAGACAAUAUUGUGACAUAAAGUUCUGCGGAUUAAAACCGACUUUGUCCAACAGAUUAAGUAAUCUAGAAAGUUGAUGGGUAAGAUUUAAGAAGAUUGUUAAGAUGAACAAAUAUUUUAUGCCGUGUGACUUAAAAGGCAAAGAAAUAACAGUAGGUGCAUCAAUGUUUGCUGUUGUUGUUGCAAUGCACAAAUAAAUUCAAAAUCCAACCAUAUGCAUUGCGGAAUUCUGUACUGUGGAUAAAAUAUUCAGUAAUGCAAAUUGGUAUAGGUUUAGAAUCAUGGGUUGCAACAGUACAUUUAGAAUUUGAUUGAUAAAUGAGGCCGAUCAUGGAGUUUCUGCUGAUGCUAUUUACCAUAUCUAUGGAAUGCUAAACACUUUUUUUUAAUAGUAUAUUUGCAGAUGGCGGU